rnacentral:rRNA from 1 species
AUACGGAGGGUGCGAGCGUUAAUCGGAAUUACUGGGCGUAAAGCGUGCGUAGGCGGAAGCUUAAGUCUGAUGUGAAAGCCCCGGGCUUAACCUGGGAAUUGCAUUGGAAACUGGGUUUCUAGAGUGUGGUAGAGGAUAGUGGAAUUUCCAGUGUAGCGGUGAAAUGCGUAGAUAUUGGAAAGAACACCGAUGGCGAAGGCAGCUAUCUGGGCCAACACUGACGCUGAGGUACGAAAGCGUGGGGAGCAAACAGGAUUAGAUACCCUGGUAGUCCACGCCCUAAACGAUGUCGACUUGUCGUUGGGGGAGUUUAGUCCUUCAGUGACGGAGCUAACGCGUUAAGUCGACCGCCUGGGGAGUACGGCCGCAAGGUUGAA